rnacentral:lncRNA from 1 species
AGGACGCAUUCUCAUAUGAAACAUGGCCAAUCCAAAAUAAGGAAAGUGCAAAUUAACUCUAUCCUGAGAUGUUAUUUUCACCUACCAACAGGCGUAAAGAUCAAAGUUUGGUGAUUUACAGUAUGGUGAGAGGAUGGGGACACGGGUGCUUUUGCACACACUGCUGGAGUGGGUGUGAGUCUGGAGAGUCUAUGGAACUAUUACUAUUUUGUUUUGUUUUGUUUUUAAGAUGAAGUUUCGCUCUUGUCACCCAGUGUCCACGCUGGAGCUCAAUGGCGUGAUCUGGGCUCACUGCAACCUCCACCUCCCAGGUUCAAGCGAUUCUCCUGCCUCAGUCUCCUGAGUAGCUGGGAUUACAGGCGCCUGUCACCACGCCUGGCUAAUUUUUGUAUAUUUAGUAGAUAGGGGGUUUCACUAUGUUGACCAGGCUGGUCUUGGAACUUCUGACCUCAGGUGAUCCACCUGCCUCAGCCUCCCAAAGCACUGGAAUUACAGGCAAGAGCCACCGCGCCCAGCCACUUACUAUUUUCUGAGAAAGGGUCUCACUUGUCACCCAGGCUGGUGUGCAGUGGCAUGAUUACAGCUCACUGCAGCCUCUACCUCCCAGGCUGAAGCAAUCCUCCCACCUCAGCCUUCUGAGUAGCAGGGACUGCAGGUGCACGCCACCAUGCCCAGCUAUUUUUUUUUGUUUUUGGCAGAGACAGGGUUUUGCCAUGUUGCCCAGGCUAAAGCCGAAGUUUCUGAGAACCUAUUGAUGGUGUUAAGUGAGGACUUGCUGUAUUGGAAAAAAAUGCUGUGGACGUUUUUAUUUUUUGAGAUGGAGUUUUGCUCUUGUUGCCCAGGUUGGAGUGCAAUGGCGCUAUCUCGGCUCACCACAACCUCUGCCUCCUGGAUUCAAGCAAUUCUCUUGCCUCAGCCUCCCGAGUAGCUGGGAUUACAGGCAUGUGCCACCAUGCCUGGCUAAUUUUGUAGGAAGUUCUUUCUGUAUUGAAGCAAAUAAUACUUAACCUUUUAUGAAAAACAACCAGGCCACGCGUGGUGGCUCACGUCUGUAAUCCUAGCACUUUGGGAGGCUGAGGCGGGUUGAUCACUUGAGGCAAAAGUUCGAGACCAGCCUGGCCAACAUGGUGAAACCCCAUCUCUACUAAAAAUACAAAAAUUAGCCAGGCAUGGUGGCAGGUGCCUGUAAUCCCAGCUACUUGAGAGGCUGAGGCACGAGAAUCGUUUGAAUCCAGGAGGCGGAGGUUGUAGUGAGCCGAGAAUGCGCCACUGCACUCCAGCCUGGGUGUCAGAGUGAGACUCCAUCUCAAAAAAAAAAAAAAAGACACCUAGUUGGGAGAGAGGAGAUACAGAUGCAUACACAAUGGUGUGCCUGGAUUUGGGGUAUCAGAGGAGGGGCUUCACUACUAGCAGUGGCCUCUGGGGACUCUGGGAGGGAUCUGUACCACCUGGGCUUCCGAUGGAGGGUGGCUCAGGCACAGGAAGC